rnacentral:rRNA from 1 species
CCUACGGGCGGCAGCAGUGAGGAUUAUUGGUCAAUGGCCGGGAGCCUGAACCAGCCAAGCCGCGUGAGGGAAGACGGUACAGCGUAUCGUACACCUCUUUUGUCAGGGAACAAAGACGGGGACUCGUCCCCGGUUGAGGGUACCUGAAGAAAAAGCAUCGGCUAACUCCGUGCCAGCAGCCGCGGUAAUACGGAGGAUGCGAGCGUUAUCCGGAUUUAUUGGGUUUAAGGGGUGCGCAGGCGGCCUGUUAAGUCAGCGGUAAAAGCCCGGGGCUCAACCCCGGCGCGCCGUUGAAACUGGCGGUCUGGAGUUGGAGAGAAGUACGCGGAAUGCGCGGUGUAGCGGUGAAAUGCUUAGAUAUCGCGCAGAACCCCGAUUGCGAAGGCAGCGUACCGGCUCCACACUGACGCUGAGGCACGAAAGCGUGGGUAUCGAACAGGAUUAGAUACCCUAGUAGUC